AAUGAACGCUGGCGGCAGGCCUAACACAUGCAAGUCGAGCGGAAGCUCAGUGAGUGCUUGCGGACACGGGUGGCGAGUGGGGGACGGGUGAGGAUUACAUCGGAAUCUACUUUUACGUGGGGGAUAAUGUAGGGAAAGUUACGUUGAUACCGGAUACGACCUACGGGUUAAAGCAGGGGAUCUUCGGACCUUGCGCGAUUGUAUUCGCCGAUGUCGGAUUAGCUAGUUGGCGGGGUAAAGGCCAACCAUAGCGACGAUCCGUAGCGGGUCUGAGAGGAUGGUCAGACACACUGGAACGGAGACACGGCCCAGACUCCUACGCGAGGCAACAGUGGAGAAUAUUAGACAAUGGGCGCAAGGCUAAUCCAGCCAAACCGCGUGGGUGAAGAAAUCCUUCGGGUUGGAAAGCCAUUUUGUUGUUAAAGAAGAACAGCACUUUAAUCCCCCACUAUUCUGACGGUACCCAAAGAAUAAGCACCGGCUAACUUCGUG
rnacentral:rRNA from 1 species